UACGGAGGGGGCAAGCGUUAUUCGGAAUUAUUGGGCGUAAAGGGCGCGUAGGCGGCUAGAUGUGUCAAAGGUGAAAUCCCUCGGCUCAACUGAGGAACUGCCUUUGAAACUGUCUGGCUUGAGGCCGGGAGAGGGUAGCGGAAUUCCCAGUGUAGCGGUGAAAUGCGUAGAUAUCUGGAGGAACACCGAUGGCGAAGGCAGGUCUCUGGGCAUUAACUGACGCUGAGGAGCGAAAGCAUGGGGAGCGAACAGG
rnacentral:rRNA from 1 species